AAAUCCAACUACAAAAUUGAAACAAUCAGCGAUACCCCUGGAGCAGGAAGCCGGUGAAAAACCGGCACAGCCCCGCUACGGUAAGGCCGACGAAGAGGACACUAUGCCACUGACCGAAAGGUCGGGAAGGCGUUCUCCGAGGAAGAAGCCGAGUCCGGACACUCUCCAGCCAGGUUCGAACCGU
rnacentral:ncRNA from 2 species